AUGUCAGUGGCGGUGAUAGAGCAUGCAGAGACCAUGGAGAAGGGGAAGCCCAAGCCUGGUGGCUUGAGCGACCCUCGCCUGGGCACCAUUGACCGGAGGACCAAGUGCGAGACAUGCAUGGCCGGGAUGGCCGAGUGCCCGGGCCACUUCGGCCACCUCGAGCUCGCAAAGCCCAUGUUCCACAUCGGCUUCAUCAAGACCGUGCUCUCCAUCAUGCGCUGCGUCUGCUUCAACUGCUCCAAGAUCCUCGCCGAUGCCGAUGAUGAGAACGAUGGCAAGUUCAGGCAGGCUCUCAGAAUCAAGAACCCAAAAAAUAGACUGCGAAAAAUUCAGGAGGCUUGCAAGGGCAAAAAGGUUUGUGCUGCGGGUGAGGAUGAUCUUGAGGGUCAGGAUCAGAUGGACAGCGAUGAACCAGUGAAGAAGAAAAGAGGUGGCUGUGGUGCUCAGCAGCCAAAGAUCACGGUCGAUGGUAUGAAGAUGGUUGCAGAGUUUAAAGCAACAAACAAGAAGAAUGUCGAUCAAGAUCAACUCCCUGAACCUGUGGAGCGGAAGCAAAUUCUCUCUGCCGACAGGGUUCUUAAUGUUCUCAAGCGUAUAAGCGACGAGGACUGCCUUUUGUUGGGCCUGGACCCUAAAUACGCACGGCCUGAUUGGAUGAUACUGCAAGUCCUUCCGAUUCCUCCGCCGCCUGUGAGACCAUCUGUCAUGAUGGACACUUCCUCCAGAAGUGAGGAUGAUUUGACUCAUCAAUUAGCAAUGAUAAUUCGGCAUAAUGAGAAUCUGAGGAGGCAAGAGAGAAAUGGAGUCCCAGCCCACAUUAUAACAGAGUUUGCUCAGUUGUUGCAGUUUCACAUUGCGACAUACUUUGACAAUGAUCUUCCAGGACAGCCACGGGCCACUCAGCGUUCUGGAAGGCCUAUUAAGUCAAUCUGCAGCAGGCUGAAAGCAAAAGAAGGCCGGGUUAGAGGAAACUUGAUGGGGAAGCGAGUUGAUUUUUCAGCCCGUACCGUCAUUACACCAGACCCAAAUAUCAACAUUGAUGAAUUGGGGGUGCCAUGGAGUAUUGCUUUGAAUCUAACAUACCCAGAAACUGUUACUCCAUAUAACAUCGAGAGGUUGAAAGAACUAGUAGAAAAUGGGCCUCACCCUCCCCCAGGAAAGACAGGUGCCAAGUACAUUAUCAGGGAAGACGGCCAGAGGCUGGAUCUUCGCUAUGUAAAAAAAAGUAGUGAUCAGCAUUUGGAACUGGGUUACAAGGUGGAAAGGCAUCUCAUUGAUGGAGAUUUUGUUCUGUUCAACCGGCAACCCAGUCUCCACAAAAUGUCUAUCAUGGGGCAUCGCAUUAAAAUCAUGCCCUACUCAACUUUCCGCCUCAACUUGUCUGUCACGUCACCAUACAAUGCAGAUUUUGAUGGGGAUGAAAUGAAUAUGCAUGUUCCCCAGUCAUUUGAGGCCAGAGCUGAGGUUUUAGAGUUGAUGAUGGUGCCAAAGUGUAUUGUCUCACCUCAAGCAAAUAGACCUGUUAUGGGUAUUGUCCAGGACACACUUCUUGGCUGUCGAAAAAUUACCAAAAGGGACACUCUCAUUGAAAAGGAUGUAUUUAUGAACAUCUUAAUGUGGUGGGAAGAUUUUGAUGGGAAGGUCCCUGCCCCUGCCAUUUUGAAACCAAGACCGAUUUGGACUGGCAAACAAGUUUUUAACUUGAUUAUCCCCAAGCGAAUCAAUUUAAUUAGAUUUUCAGCCUGGCAUGAUGAAGGAGAAAGCAGAUUUAUUACUCCCGGUGAUACUGUGGUCCGGAUAGAGAAGGGAGAGCUUCUGUCUGGUAUACUUUGCAAAAAAACACUUGGGACAUCAAUGGGAAGUCUUAUUCAUGUUAUUUGGGAAGAGGUAGGGCCCGAUGCCGCGCGCAAGUUCUUGGGUCAUACACAGUGGCUGGUCAACUACUGGCUUCUGCAACAUGGUUUCAGUAUCGGAAUCGGGGAUACGAUUGCAGAUGCAGGUACAAUGAAGAAGAUUAGUGACACAAUAUCGAAAGCUCAGGAUGAUGUGACUGAGCUUAUCAAGGAAGCGCGUGACAACAAGUUGGAACCUGAGCCAGGACGCACAAUGAUGGAAUCAUUUGAAAAUAAAGUGAAUCAGGUUCUUAACAAGGCUCGUGAUGAUUCUGGGAGUAGUGCUCAGCAGAGUUUGUCUGAGAGCAACAAUCUGAAAGCUAUGGUCACUGCAGGCUCAAAAGGCAGUUUCAUUAAUAUUUCGCAAAUGACCGCUUGUGUCGGACAGCAGAAUGUUGAAGGCAAGAGGAUCCCAUUUGGUUUUGCUGGUCGUACAUUGCCCCACUUCACGCAAAAUGACGACAGUCCUGAAAGCCGUGGGUUCGUGAAAAACUCUUACCUUCGAGGCCUGACACCAGAGGAAUUCUUCUUCCAUGCUAUGGGUGGUAGAGAAGGUUUGAUUGAUACUGCUGUGAAAACUUCCGAGACUGGAUAUAUUCAGCGGAGGCUCGUGAAGGCCAUGGAGGACAUCAUGGUGAAAUACGAUGGUACCGUGAGAAACUCCCUGGGUGAUGUCAUUCAGUUCUUGUAUGGAGAAGAUGGCAUGGACGCUGUUUGGAUUGAACCACAGAAAUUGGACUCCCUCGGGAUGAAAAGGGCAGAGUUUGACAAUGUAUUUCGUUAUGAACUGGAUGAUGAGAACUGGAGGCCCACUUACAUGUCGCCUGAAGAUGCUGAUGUUUUGAAGACAGUUCCUGAUAUCAGACUUGUGUUUGAGGCAGAGUUUCAGAAAUUAGAAGCUGACAGAUUACAGCUUGGGACUGAAAUUGCCACAACUGGCGACAUUACAUGGCCUAUGCCUGUCAACCUCAAGCGGCUUAUCUGGAAUGCUCAAAAGACUUUCAAGAUUGACUUGAGAAGACCUUCUGACAUGCACCCUAUGGAAAUUGUGGAAGCAAUGGAUAAGUUGCAAGAAAGACUCAAGGUUGUCCACGGCGAUGAUGCCAUGAGCACUGAGGCUCAGAAGAACUCUACUCUGCUCUUCAAUAUCCUGCUCCGUAGCACAUUUGCUAGCAAGAGGGUCUUGAAAGAAUACAGGCUCACAAGGGAAUCUUUUGAAUGGGUCAUCGGUGAGAUAGAAUCGAGAUUCCACCAGUCUUUGGUAGCUCCUGGCGAGAUGAUUGGAUGCGUAGCUGCACAGUCCAUUGGAGAACCAGCAACUCAGAUGACGCUGAAUACUUUCCAUUAUGCUGGUGUUAGUGCCAAGAAUGUCACCCUUGGCGUCCCCAGGUUAAGGGAGAUUAUUAACGUCGCCAAGAAGAUAAAGACCCCGUCGCUGUCUGUUUUCCUAAAGCCUGAGGUGAGCAAGAAGAAAGAAUUGGCCAAGAAUGUCCAGUGUGCCUUGGAGUACACUACGCUACGUAGCGUGACCCAUGCCACCGAGAUAUGGUAUGAUCCUGAUCCUCUAGGAACCACCAUUGAAGAGGAUGUGGAAUUUGUCAAGUCAUAUUAUGAAAUGCCUGAUGAGGAUAUUGACCCGGAUAAGCUGUCUCCUUGGCUACUGCGUAUCGAACUGAACCGUGAGAUGAUGGUCGAUAAGAGGUUGAGCAUGGCUGAAAUUGCAGAGAAGAUCAAACAUGAAUUUGAUGACGACUUGUCAUGCAUAUUCAACGAUGAUAACGCGGAUAAGCUCAUCCUUCGUAUCCGCAUUAAAAACGAUGACGAAGCUCCAAAACAGGAUGAGGAUGAUGAUGUCUUCCUUAAGAAGAUUGAGAGCAACAUGUUGACUGAGAUGACCCUUGGAGGCAUUCCAGAUAUUAACAAGGUCUUCAUUAAAGAGAGGAAGGUGAAUAAAUUCGAUGAAAAUGAUGGUUUCACUCAAAAAUCAGAUAACAAAGAUAAGAACAAAGAGUGGAUGCUUGAUACAGAAGGUGUAAACCUCUUGGCCGUGAUGUGCCAUGAGGAUGUUGACGCUACGAGGACAACGAGUAACCAUCUGAUCGAAGUGAUUGAGGUUCUUGGGAUCGAGGCUGUCCGCAGGUCUCUCUUGGAUGAGCUGAGGGCGGUGAUAUCUUUUGAUGGGUCUUAUGUGAACUACAGGCAUCUGGCCAUUCUCUGUGAUACCAUGACAUACAGAGGUCACCUGAUGGCUAUUACUAGGCACGGCAUAAACCGUAAUGACACGGGGCCUCUCAUGAGAUGUUCUUUUGAAGAAACGGUGGAUAUCUUGCUUGAUGCUGCCAUGUAUGCAGAAUCCGAUCACCUGAGAGGCGUCACAGAGAACAUUAUGCUUGGCCAGCUUGCUCCUAUUGGCACAGGAGGCUGUGAGUUGUACCUGAAUGACAAGAUGCUGGAGCAGGCCAUUGAGCUUCAACUCCCGAGUUUUGUUGAUGGCCUGGACUAUGGCAUGACACCAGCACCUUCACCCAUCUCCAGAAUGAUGUCACCGGUGCCGAGUCCAAAUUCCCGGGCUUCCCCCGUUACAGAUCAUGCUCUUCAGUUCUCACCAUAUGUUGGGGGUAUGGCUUUCUCACCCGUCCCAUCAAACUACAGCACAUCCUCUGGGCCAGGAGGACAUGGCUACAGUCCCGUCUCUCCAGUAUACUCACCACUAUCUCCUAUUUAUACCCCCACAUCUCUGAGCUACAGCCCCAUAUCGCCCAUCUAUAGUCCAGAAUCGCCAGUUUAUAGUCCAGCAUCGCCAGUUUUGAGACCAACAUCUCUUCAAUACAGCCCGACGUCGCCAGUUUAUAGCCCGACAUCUCUUGAAUACAGCCCGACGUCGCCUGUUUAUAGCCGGACAUCUCUACCAUACAGCCCAACGUCGCCAUCUUAUAGCCCAACAUCUCAUGCAUACAGCCCGACGUCGCCAUCUUAUAGCCCAACAUCUCAUGCAUACAGCCCGACGUCGCCAUCUUAUAACCCAACAUCGCCAGUUUAUAGCCCGGCAUCUUUUUCAUACAGCCCGACGUCGCCAUAUUAUAACCCAACAUCGCCAUCAUACAGCCCCACUUCGCAUUCAUACAGCCCUACUUCGCCUCGUUACAGCCCGACAUCGCCCUCGUGCAGCCCUACUUCGCCGAACUAUAGCCCUACAUCCCCUGCAUACAGCCCAACUUCACCUUCAUACAGCCCUACGUCACCGAGCUACAGCCCAACUUCGCCUUCAUACAGUCCUACAUCGCCCUCUUACAGUCCUUCGAGUGCUUAUUCUCCAAGCAGCCCAAUGAUGAUGAGUCCGUACAGUCAGCUUCCUACAAACUACAGCCUUGCUUCACCGACUUACUCGCCCACCUCACCAUCAUAUGCUGCACAACCAAGUCCAUCAUACAGCCCGACAAGCCCAUGCACUGCCUCUGGAGGACCUAGCCCAGAUUACAGCCUAACUUCCCCCAAUUACAGCCCCAGCACAAGCUACUCCCCGCCAUCCACCAAGCCACAAACUAGUGACAAGGACGACAACAAGAGUGCUCCUUGA
rnacentral:rRNA from 1 species